rnacentral:miRNA from 1 species
AACACCAUUGUCACACUCCACA